CGGCAAAUAAGAAACACACGCGAUGUCUGAACUUCGACAUGCUUCGAAUUUCUGAAAUGUCUCUUGGUUUUUCCCCAAGACCUGCACCAGAUUUUCUGAUACUACUACCUCUCAAAACAUGCAUCCAUUUUGUGGCAUAGAAUAAUCCAAAUUCACCUGACAGAUUAUUAGAUGUGUGAGGAACCUUUCUUGAAUUGUUACAAAAAUUAUCUAAGAACUAGAGAAGCAGUUAAUAUUUAAAAUUCCAUCUCAUAUACAAGGCCCAAUAAACCAUAAACCCUAGAAAUUAGCAUCACUCAUCAAAGCCUAGGUUAACAAACCAAGCACAUCCUGGAUACACAGAAUCUACCCCACCCCCAAGCUCCAACCCUCAAAACACACCUGUUAGCCUCCCAGGUACCUCUGACCACAGACAAACCGCAAAACACUGCUCUAUACUACACAGUGCCUUUAGUGACCCUCCAGCAAAGCUGACACAUCCAGGAAGCAUCUGCACACUCUUCCCAGGGUGGGGACCGAGGGGCUCUCCAUCUAUGCCGCUAUCCACCUCCCAUAAUCUCCAGAGGAAAUAGGGCUUCCCUUCGACUUCUGAGCUCAGCUGGACCCCACCCGGGGCCCCAGGGGACGCCCGCUCAGAGAUGGAGUGAUCUGGGGCAGGGGGCGCAGGCAGCCACUCCCAGGUCCCGGGGAUGGGGAGGGGGUCGGGCAGGGAUCUCCGAGCUGCCCAAACGGGUGGGCGCCUCGAGCUUCUCGGUGGCAGCGCUGGGGGCGCGUGGAGGGGACGGCUCUUACCGGAGGUGCCGGGCUGGAGGCGGCGGUCGGCCGGGGCGGCUGCUGUAAUCCACUAGGCGCUGCCGGGCUACGCGCGCUCUGCGCGGCAGGGACCCGCUCAUGUUAGAGAAGGAGCCGCGUCGGAACCGCGCGGCUCGGUCACCCAGAGCAGGCCGGCUGCUCCCGGCGGGCGGUGUCGGCGCCGGCCGGGGCCUCGGCGCCCCGGAUUCCUUCCGGGCUCUCCCGCCUGCCGGGCUCCCCACCGGCUCCGGGGGCGGCAGCGGCGCGACCGGGGCGAAGGAGCGGCGGGGCCAAGUUGGGCGCCGGGCGGGAGCCGAGACCGCCGCGGACCCCGCAAUCCCACAGCCGGCGACUGGAGCCCACCUCUGCGGAGACAAAGAUGCUCGAGGAUUCAGCAAACACUGGGGAAGCAGAGGACAGAGGUUUGGUCGUGAAACAGCAACACCUUCUGCACUGAAGAAUAAUUAAACAAUAUUUUUAAUUAUACAGGAAAAUCAAGCACGUUGUUGGACCCUCCCAAGCUAGAGCACUUUACACUGGUCUGUAUGUGUGGAACUGAACAGAGCUUGCUCAAUUCUGAAAUAUUCUGAGAAAUUACUUCAAUUGUCAAUUUUCCUCUACCCAAAUAAAGGCGGAGCUUUAUGACCCUCCUUUUCAGCUGAGGGAAGGAGGGCUGGGAAAAGACUCCGCAUUUUUUUAAAAAGCAGCCAUAUUUGCACUUCUCCCCACUGUGCAGCCUGUAAGCCAUGUGCUGGGCUUUGUGGAAUCUCACAAAAUGGGAGCCCCUGAACUGACUUUUCUCUAGGAACCAUUGAGACCCACACCCUCUUUUGUGUGUUUCUGGUCCACGCAAACAGAGAACCUAAAUCACUUCGGACUCUUGGUUUUUUCAUCCAGUGUUAACAUUGGAGGGUCCGAUCUUUCUGUAAACGGUUUACAAACCUCUCUAAGCAGACUCUAUAAGCAGUCCAGAGCACCAGAGUGUCGGCUGUUUGCAAAGGGUUCUCUGAAGGUUUAUGCAAAUUGCUGCAGCAAAAAUGUUGGUUUGCUUAUUGCGGCAAACCCUUGGAUGUUUUCAGAUUUGAGCCAAUUAGAAGGGCAUCUCCUGCACUCGUCAUUGCGAGUUGUCUGCAUGAAACACUGUGAUGGGGGUUUCUAGCCACUGGAAGAAAGAAGGUGGUGAGUGUGUGUGAUUUGUAAUUCCACAAGCCCUUUAUUUGGAGACAAAUCUAUGCUUUUCCUAGCUACAAAAGGAAGCAUAUAUACCUACAUUUAUUACCAACACUUUCUACACAUGACUAAUCUACGUAUAUGUACAAAUACACCAAAUAUAUACCAAAAAUACCAAGUCUGUAAAUGUACAAAUACGCUCAAAUGUACUAAUUAUGCAACAGCCUUUUUCCUUACAUGAGCUACGAGUUUACCAUGGGUCAGGGGGCCGAUGGGGCCAGAAGGUACAACACUUUCAGAGGAGCACAAAGUGGAGAGGAAAUAAGAACAUUUUUACCUCCCUUCCUUCACUGAUUUCCACAUAUAUCCAUGCACCAGGUCCCACACCAUACAGAGAGUCUUGCCCAUAUCGAUGGCUCUAAAAAUGAUUUGGGGGGAGCAUUGUUGUGUAGGAGAGAGCGAAUUUUGCUAAUAGAGGAGUCCCUUAAAUGGAGGGCAGCUGGAGCUCAGCCAGCACCAGUCUCUAGCCAGCUUACUCCCACCCUCUCCCCAGCCAGGCUGUUCCCUAGCCAUGCUUUCAGGCACUUGGUAUACUUGCUCUAAACCAGUCAACAGCAGAGUCUCAGGCAACACACAGAGCAAAAUGUUUCCAAAUGCAGCAUUCACGUUUGCAGCUGUCUCCUCUCGUGCACCACCCUUGAUUUAAAAUUGUCUUUCCUGGCUCAGGUCAGCGAAUGCCACAGCCAUGGCCUCUUCCCUGGAUAGAAAGCCAGGUGGUGCUUCGCCUCUUGCCGAACCAGUGCCAACAUCUUCCUGGUCCUUGAAACAGCAGGCAGACAGCUCACCAAUGCCUGAGGGGGUGAUACAGGCCUAAAACUAUAGGAUUCCAGUUUCUUACCUGUGCAAUAAAAGCCACUCUGGAAAUUAAAAUGUACCUCUUUAAAAAUAUACAGGCAUCUAGAAAAAGAAGAGAAUUCUUCAAUGCCUACCUGAUAAAGGUGCUUUCCCUUUUGGGGAGAGAAAUGUUAGCUUACUUGAAUUUCUCCUCUUCCCUCCCGCCCCUCUUC
ensembl:lncRNA